AUGCAUCGGCCGCCAUGGACGGGAGCUCGGCUCCCUCACCGAGCGCCCCUGGCCACGUCCCUGCGCUGCCUGCUCGCGCACGCGCCGUGCCCUGGCCUCACUGCCGCGCACCCGCGCCGGCCACGCCCGCGCCGCUCGCGCGUACGGCCGCGCCCGCCGGACGGCUCCGACGGCCGCCGCGUCCUGCUGCUGCUCUGGCCGCCCCGUUCACCUAGCCUCGCGUCACCGCUGGCUGACGCUGCUCGUCCUGCCGCUGUCACCGCCGCCCUCUCCUGCGGUGCCUACGGCUGCUCUUGCCGCUGCCGCUUCUCCCUGCGGCUGCUUGCUUCUGCUCCUCUUACCUGCUGCCGCUCCUGCUGGCUACUAGCACCACUCCUGUCGCUGCAGUUUGCUGCUGCUGCUCUUCUUGCUGCGUUGGCUACUGCUGCUGCUGAUGUGCUACGCUGCUAA
rnacentral:rRNA from 1 species